rnacentral:rRNA from 1 species
GGGUCAGUAGGUUGGUCGUGCCACCGGUACGUACUGGUCUCACUGAUUCCUCCUUCCUCAAUAACCCUAAUGCCAUUAAUUUGGUGUUGCGGGGAAACAGGACUGUUACUUUUAAAAAAUUAGAGUGUUUAAAGCAAGCUAACGCUUGAAUACAUUAGCAUGGAAUAAUGAAAUAGGACGAUCGAUCCUAUUUUGUUGGUUUCUAGGAUUGACGUA